rnacentral:rRNA from 1 species
GACGAACGCUGGCGGCGUGCCUAAUACAUGCCAGUUGAGCGCUGAAGGUUGGUACUUGUACCAACUGGAUGAGCAGCGAACGGGUGAGUAACGCGUGUGGAAUCUGCCUUUGAGCGGGGGACAACAUUUGGAAACGAAUGCUAAUACCGCAUAAAAACUUUAAACACAAGUUUUAAGUUUGAAAUAUGCAAUUGCAGCACUCAAAGAUGAUCCCGCGUUGUAUUAGGUAGUUGGUGAGGUAAAAGCUCACCAACGCGAUGAUACAUAGCCGCCCUGAGAGGGUGAUCGGCCACAUUGGGACUGAGACACGGCCAAAACUCCUACGGGAGGCAGCAGUAGGGAAUCUUCGGCAAUGGACGAAAGUCUGACCGAGCAACGCCGCGUGAGUGAAGAAGGUUUUCGGAUCGUAAAACUCUGUUGGUAGAGAAGAACGUUGGUGAGAGUGGAAAGCUCAUCAAGUGACGGUAACUACCCAGAAAGGGACGGCUGACUACGUG